GACGAACGCUGGCGGCGUGCUUAACACAUGCAAGUCGAACGGAAAGGCCCUGCUUUUGUGGGGUGCUCGAGUGGCGAACGGGUGAGUAACACGUGAGUAACCUGCCCUUGACUUUGGGAUAACUUCAGGAAACUGGGGCUAAUAUCGGAUAGGAGCUCCUGCUGCAUGGUGGGGGUUGGAAAGUUUCGGCGGUUGGGGAUGGACUCGCGGCUUAUCAGCUUGUUGGUGGGGUAGUGGCUUACCAAGGCUUUGACGGGUAGCCGGCCUGAGAGGGUGGCCGGCCACAAUGGGACUGAGGGACGGCGCAGACUGCUACGGGAGGCAGCAGUGGGGAGUAUUGCACAAUGGGCGGAAGCCUGAUGCAGCAACGCCGCGUGCGUAAUGACGGCCUUCGGGUUGUAAACCGCUUUCGCCUGUGACGAAGCGUGAGUGACGGUAAUGGGUAAAGAAGCACCGGCUAACUACGUG
rnacentral:rRNA from 1 species